rnacentral:rRNA from 1 species
UGGGGAAUAUUGCACAAUGGGCGCAAGCCUGAUGCAGCCAUGCCGCGUGUAUGAAGAAGGCCUUCGGGUUGUAAAGUACUUUCAGUCGGGAGGAAGGUGGUAAGGUUAAUAACCUUAUCAAUUGACGUUACCGACAGAAGAAGCACCGGCUAACUCCGUGCCAGCAGCCGCGGUAAUACGGAGGGUGCAAGCGUUAAUCGGAAUUACUGGGCGUAAAGCGCACGCAGGCGGUUGAUUGAGUCAGAUGUGAAUUCCCCGGGCUUAACCCGGGAAUUGCAUCUGAUACUGGUCAGCUAGAGUCUUGUAGAGGGGGGUAGAAUUCAAUGUGUAGCGGUGAAAUGCGAAGGAAUGUGGAGGAAUACCGGUGGGGAAGGCGGCCCCCUGGAAAAGGACUAACGCUCAGGUGCGAAAGCGUGGGAGCAAACAGG